UACGUAGGGUGCAAGCGUUGUCCGGAAUUAUUGGGCGUAAAGAGUUCGUAGGCGGUUUGUCGCGUCCGUUGUGAAAGCUUGGGGCUCAACCCCAAGUCUGCAGUGGAGACGGGCAGACUAGAGUCAGGUAGGGGAGAACGGAAUUCCUGGUGUAGCGGUGAAAUGCGCAGAUAUCAGGAGGAACACCGGUGGCGAAGGCGGUUCUCUGGGCCUGUACUGACGCUGAGGAACGAAAGCGUGGGGAGCGAACAGG
rnacentral:rRNA from 1 species